AUAUGCUAGUCUGAAAGCAGUAAUCCACUUUACCAAAUCAAGUUAUUUUUAAAAAAUUUUCUGGGAACUGAAGCUGCUGUACCUUUUUCUAAGGUUUCUAAAUAAUAAACAUUUGAAUUUGGUUCUGUGAAAUGAAAUUAUUCUGUUGAGGAGGACGGUUGCUGGUUUGUUCCAGUCUACAGCUGAGAGAGGCUUUCCCACUCAAUCUCUUCUUUUAUGCCAUUUCUUGGAUUUGCAGGUCUCUCUUCUGUCUCCCACUCUUCAAACUUUCUGGACCUCUACACUCUACUUGGUAUUUUCUCAAUUGUUUGUGUGUUAAUGCUGCCGAGAGGGAAAAAUUCCUAAAAGAAGGAGAGGCAAUUUGACUGUGCUGUUUUGUGCUUGCACCUGGGUGACUGGUGGUAGGUCGUGGCUUUCUCUCACCAUGUGUUUCCCAUAAAAGCCCUGGCUGCCUUGAGUGCUGUGUGAUAGGCUGUCUGGAAGCUAAAGACCAAGUGCAUGCACUCUGCUAGAAAGACUGAAAUAUCCUGUAACCAGUAGCUGAAGUUGCCAGAUGCUACAGUGUCUGCAAGCGGUGACAGUUACAAUGCUCACACUGCCGCAGUCAAGAGAAAACCACGUCACGAUGAAAGAGCUUCAGUGCACAUAGUUUGAUGUUAAAAAAUAAAAAUAAAAAAAAUGAAAAAUAAGCUUAUGAAACAUUUAAGGAGUGGGAAAGUCCAAAAUGCUGUACAGGACAACGUAAGCCUGUAUUCUUUUCGUUGGAGGUAGGGAAAGGAGAACAAAGCACAUCUAUUUGUCAAAACAAAAACACCUAAGAAUAUGAAAAGGUUUGUUUUCUGUAAUGGAAACCAAGGUUGGGAAAUUAGAGAAAACUAGGCUAAGUGUUGCAUCAUUAUAAAGUGACACAAUGCUCAGUUUGUAGAAAGUAAUAGCUAAAGAGUAGUCAUCCAGAGGUAGCAUUUUACUGAGCCAUUUCAUUAAACGUGCUGUUGAUUUCACAUUUGCCAAUAGCAAACUACCAGGUUUUCGUUGCUAUGGGUUUUUGUUGUUUCCCAGGUUGUCUUUUUGCUAAUAGUUAUAAGAUCUCAAGUGUGGAAGCUGCCCACUUGUGCAUGAAAAUAGUCUUCAGCAAAGAAAAAAUAAGUUUACUACUCUUUGGGUGUAGAUGGCCUCAUAACAGCUGAUGUAGCUUCAUGGGCAGGAGAGUUUUUGUGCUGUGUACGAAGGGUGCAUCCCUGUUAUAGAAUAGCUGCUUUCAGUGGUUUUCCAGAAGGGACAGAGACAGACAGCUCAGUUAUAUCUCCAAUAAGAGAGGGAGAAAAGCUUGCAGAAACAGCUGUUGACGCUGCGGGUUGAGCUGUAGAGCAGACAGAUGAGCUGUGGGGUGCCUGCUGUGCUCUCUUCCAGCCAAGGCAUGGGGCCAAGCUAUCUCACAGCACAUACUCAGUUUGCUGCCUGAUGGAUUGGCCUGGUAUUCACACAUCAGGACUAUCGCUUCUGUCUUCUGAAAUGGUCUCCUACAAACGUCAGGGUUUGGCUUAGGAGACUGACAAGAUCUAGCACCAGGGUUUUGGGCUAAAUCCUUCAGUGCAUUGCUUCUGCAGAGGGGUAACUAAACGUCCAGGAAUUCUGGACUUGACCCAAUGCCAGUUAAAAUCAGUGGACUUUCUGCUAAACAAGAAUUACCAGUCCUAGUGGAAUUUGCAGUGGCUUCAAAAAAAGCAUUUAGAAAUCCACAUUCUCACUGUUUUCCUUCCCAAAACAAACAAGAAAAAGCACAAGAUUUUCAAACUCUAACAUUAAUUUCAUGUACAUAGGUGAUUUUUUUUCUUUUAAACUGUAUAACUUCAAUAAAUCACUGUAUCUAACUACGGUGUGGGCAGCAAUUAUCUCUGACACAUAAAAGAGAAUUUUUGAAUGUGGUUGAGGAUAAAUAAAAAGAACUUUCUAUC
ensembl:lncRNA